rnacentral:rRNA from 1 species
UACGUAGGGUCCGAGCGUUGUCCGGAGUUACUGGGCGUAAAGGGCGCGCAGGCGGCGGCGUGGGUCCGGCGUGAAAGCCCCCGGCUCAACCGGGGAGGGUCGCCGGGGACCGCGCCGCUUGAGGGCGGCAGGGGCCGGUGGAAUGCCCGGUGUAGUGGUGAAAUGCGUAGAGAUCGGGCGGAACACCCGUGGCGAAGGCGGCCGGCUGGGCCGACCCUGACGCUGAGGCGCGAAGGCGUGGGGAGCGAACGGGAUUAGAAACCCCCGUAGUCC